UGUCUUAAGUUUUAUGUAUCAUAAAUAUAUUGACGAUCAAAAUAACAUAAACCAUAUGUGUAUCAUUAAGAGCUUAGCCUUGUAACAUCAAAGUACUGAGUUUAAUAAACAUGUGUAUUGUUACACUAUUUAACGAGUACACAAAUAUUAUUAAUGCACCUAAAAAGUAAAUUAAAAAUUUUCCCUGGACAAUCAUCGAGAGUAAUGCAAGGGAUUGCUGCAUUGUCAAAUAAGAAGAAAGGGAGUGUUAUCAAAAGGUGAUAUAAUAUUGUGUAUUAGAUAAAAUUGAAAAUGACGGGAAAAAUGACAAUACCAUUAGUUACAACAAAAAAUAAAGAAAGAAAGAGGAUGAAGGCAUGAAGAAAU
rnacentral:lncRNA from 1 species